CCUACGGGAGGCAGCAGUGAGGAAUAUUGGUCAAUGGCCGUAAGUCUGAACCAGCCAAGUCGCGUGAAGGAAGAAGGAUCUAUGGUUUUUAAACUUCUUUUAUAGGGGAAUAAAGGUAUCCACGUGUGUAUAUUUGCAUUUACCCUAUGAAUAAGCAUCGGCUAACUACGUGCCAUCCGCCGCGGUAAUACGGAGGAUGCGAGCGUUGUCCGGAUUUAUUGUGUUUAAAGGGUGCGUAGGUUGUUUUUUAAGUCAGCGGUGAAAGUUGUUGGCUCAACCAUACAAUGGCCGUUGAAUCUGGAAGACUUGAGUGUGUAAGAGGAAGGUGGAAUG
rnacentral:rRNA from 1 species